GACUCGUUGGCCUAAUGGAUAAGGCGUCAGACUUCGGAUCUGAAGAUUGUGGGUUCGAGUCCCAUACGAGUCG